GACCUGAUCACAACUGGUUCAUUUCCAGUCACAUCAACAGUUCUGCAAGAGCCUGGCUGGAGGGGAUGGCACAUGACACUUGUCUCACAGGCUUUCGACUUGCCGGGGUUGUCCUUGCAGCAUUGAUUGUCAAUGCAGCGUGUUUGAUCUGGAUUUAUUCUGCUAAGCCGGUUGAAUCACCGUCAGGAGCUGGUGAAGGUCUAAUUCAUGAUUUGGGGAAAUUUCUCAGAAAUCCCUCCUCCAAUUCCAGUUUGUUCCUUAAAG